rnacentral:lncRNA from 1 species
UGAUGUCAAAGUAAAAUUAUAGGGACAAUAUUCCAUGAAGGUAGGCUGAUUCGAAGGUUCAUGCUUGUUUGUUGAACUUUUGGUGAUUUUGAGUAAUAAUGUGAAACCACCCCCUUUCGUUUCUGUGUUGGUUACUAUUCUUUACUUUUUUCCUCCGGCCAUCUUCAAUGUUCAAAGACAUAGAUGUAACUUUUGACCAGGGUUUCAGACUUCACAUGACGUGUAGUUAACUUUUGAUCAGCAUUCAACAUCAUGGAUGAUUUGAACUUAUUAUUAAGGAAAUACAUAAUAAGUGUAUAGUUAUUUUGAAGUUUGAAUAGCAAGUUAUGUUCAUAAAUUCAACUGCCAGAAUUAUGUACUGCAGACUAUCUAUAAACCAGAGUAUUGUAAAAAUGAUUCGAUGCAAGUUAUAUUGUAGCGUCCUGCAUCCAUUCAGAUGAGAUUUUGUAGUUUUUCCUGUUGUACAGCAACCACAUAUACCAUAAACCAGUUUCUAGACUAAAUUAUAGAAAUGAUGGGGAAAUAUGUACAUAACUCUCUACAAGUAGUUAUGUGCAUAUGCAUACACAUUUGUACAUUAGCAUGCACAAGCUAUAUUGAACCGAGUAAUGAUUUCUCAAAUUUCAAUCUUACUAAUAUAAUUGUUUAUUGAUUCUUUCCAUGGAAUGCCCCCUUAGUGCUCUUCCUUUGUCCUACUAAUUUUGCUCUGUUUUUUUAUCUUUUAAGUUUCCCCAUCUAUCAUGAUGGUGGAAGUGGAACUAUAUAGAGCAGCUGGAGAUACUUGAGAGUAUAACAAGGUCAGGGCUGUUCAUUCGCACUUGCAGUUGCACCAUUUCUGCCUUUGCAAUCAAUAUGAGUAGGUGUAAGACUGCAUUGUGUUCUUUUGCACUUGCACUUGAAGUCUUUGUGGCUGUUAAUUUGAAAUGAUAUGCUGAUCUAUAGGCUGGUACUCUAUUUUUUCGUCCCCUCAAUACUGGCUGCACUUACUGAUAGUUGCAUGAUGAUUUGUCAACAAUCUCGAGAAGUAUCUCGGAAUUGUACAAUGUUGGCAAUUUGCUGUAAUGUUGUUUCUGCUUCUGAUCAUAGCUUAGUCAUUUCAGCAUUGAUGUUAUUCUACUGUAUGAUGACUAGUCUUGCUCGAUUUGGUGCUUUCUUGAUCAUUUGCCACUUCAAUGAAUGGAAGACUUACCAUCUUUCCUUUAGUGCAGUUUAAUUCUAGUUAAAAACAAAGAACCAUGUAAUAUCUAUUUUUGCAUGUACACUUUAUCUUUAUAUGCCCAAAUACCACCUUUUGCUAUUCUAGAAAGCAGCAGGUGCUGUCAUACUGAGUUUAGCUUAUUGAUGAUUCUAGUUUGCCCAGCCUGCUACUAAUGGCUUCUCUCCACGCCUCUCUCUCUCUCUCUCUCUCUCUCUCUCUCUCUCUCUCUCUCUCUCUCUCUCUGUCCAGUGUAGUGUUGCUGUUCUUUCUUUAUGGCUAGGCCACGUAGGUUGCCGUCAAAACUUCUCCCAAGAUAUGUUUUAGGAAAUGAGUGUUUCUUGUUUUUUGAUGUUUUAGGAAACAGCAGGCGUUAUCAUCGCUGAGUUUAGCUACUGAUAGUGCUAGUGUUCUCAGCGCAAGGACUCCUCUUCCUUCUUUCUCUCCCUCUCUCUCUUUCUCUCUGUCUCAUGGCUGCCGGUGCACCACGUCUUCCAUAUGAUUCAAUUCAGUUUCUUCCCCCUCCAGCACCUCCAGCGGGCCUCACUUUCUGGGAGAUCCUUGGAAUCGCCCACAUCAUCAUCUUAGGUGUUGCUGUCCUUGUGAUUGUUGUGUUGGGUGGAAUUUACAUCCUGCUGAAGAUGUUUCUCAAGCAGGAGCGAAGCGACCCAGGAAACGACGGUGGCGGCGGGGAUGUGGAGCUCGCUGCCAUAGCAGAGCUUCCACCAGCUCCCCGGCACGACCCACACCUACGCCCUGUUGCGUGACUGCAUGAGGUAUGUGUGUCCUCCUGUUUCUCUUUCUGUCAACGGCUUGUUUGGUUGUCCAGAACCCCCCGAGAUCCUGGCAUAAUCCCUGGGGGAGGAAUCCAUAGCGUCCCUCCCAUCCUUGACUUCCUAUGCCUCUCUCCGGUGAUUGCCGCUCCCACAGCCUCUUCCUCAAGCAGAUCAUGUACCUGCUACCCAGCAUACGUGGCAUCUUCCCAGCUCAGAUCUCAGGACUUGUCCUCCUCUGACAUGUUCGGAGCACUUUUUUUGACACCUGAAACAGUAGGAGAGGCUCCUACUGUGUAAUAAAUUAAUAAGAAAGAGUACUGUACUAUAAGUUAGGAGAGACGAAGUCUUCUUUCAGUCUAGAAAGCCAGGAGUUUCUUGGUGGUAUCCCUCUGAAGUGCUUAUUGUUUCGUUCUUUCCAAAUGCUGCAAGCAGAUUGAAGGAAGAUCUACAUGAACAGUAGUGGUCUACUCCAUGAAUUUCUUGCUGAUUCAACCCAUUGGAGACGUGUACCUUGGCUGCAGCCCUGCAUGCCAAGUUCAGUCCAGCAGUUGAGACUAAAAGAGCAUUCGAAGAAGAGAUGCUCCACAGUUUCUUCUAAGCAUGUUGCACAUAGUAGGCACCCGAAGUCGUUCCCAAUGUUAUAGUGUCUUCUCUUUAGCACAUUUCUAGUGUUGAGCUUAUCAGAGAGGAGCAACCAACCAAAAACUUUGACUUUCAUUGUUGCUUUGGAUUUCCAAAUCCAAGUGUAGGCUUGAUGUGCUUGAAUGUCCUUGAAAUAGAAGGUGUAGUAUUUGUUGGCAGAGUAAUAUGGUGAUCCCCAUAUGCAUGUCCACUCAUCAUGGAUUAGUGGGUCUUGUCUUCACAACAUUAUAUUGUAUAUCUUCUAUGAGAGAAAAAAAAAUCCGAUGAACACAUCCAUUCUUACGGGGGGUAAGUAUAUCAGAGAAAUAUUGGAUGGCCACCCUCAACGGUGCCUUGAUAUUCUUAGGAUGGAAUCCCACAUCUUCCAAGCUCUAUGCGACCAUCUUAGAUCCAAAAAUAUUCUACGAAAUUCAAAAGGAGUUAGCGUUGAAGAGCAACUAGGGAUGUUUAUGUACAUGCUUUCCAGGAAUGCGAGUUAUCGUAUGCUGACAGAUAGGUUUCAACUAGGGAUUAUACUAAAGAUAAGUUUGUAAGGCUUAGUUGAGCGAGUAUUCCUUUGCAGCUCGGUUUUCAUCUGGCAGUAUUCCUAAUCAAUCUGGUGCUCUGAUCAUAGGUAUUGUCCUUGCUCCUUUUAUUUCCAUUAGGUGAAGCAUACCUUGCUUGCUCCUGGAGUCCCUUUGGCCUCAACGAGGCUCCGCUAGUGGGAGGGAGUAACAUAAUAUUCUGGACAUGUUUGUUAUUAUCCACAAUAGACCUGUGUUGAGAACUUGCAAUUCUUGGAGCUAUCAUUUUUGCAUUCAAAAUCAUAUAGACCUGCUGCUGUCUAGAACAUCUUUUCUUAUUUAAGAUGUUGUUUAUAUUGCUGCCAUGUUGUUUCUUCAUAUCGGUGUUUUUUGAAAAAUAAUAUGGUUUCUUUAAAUUUAGUGACAUGCUAUGGCUACCUUGUACCAUCUGGCUCCCCUUGGUAAUUCAGGAUUUUGUGCUAAUCUUUUUGACAUACAUGGUUGUUCUUGACAUGUGUGGCUGGUAUCCUUCAUAGAGCACAAAGUGUUCUUACAUAGCUAAUGUUUUUCAUUUUUUUCUUUUCAGGAUGUCCUUUCACAUGAUUCUAUGAUUACCCGAGUCCAUGAAGCAAUCAAUAAUCUUCCUGAAAUAUUUUAUGUCUAAGCGCACAAUGAUUGAACAAUUGCCUCAAUAAAUUUGGUUAUGUAGCAUGCGGAUGAGACGAGACAAGUAUGCCUCAAUAAAUUUGUAAAUUAAACUACUGACUUUGAGCACUAUGAGUUAUUGGAACUAUGUUCAAAUGGAUGAUUGCAAAAAUAUUAUCCUUUUUUUAUGUUGUUGUACUGUUAUAUAAAUAAAAAAAAUUAGCUCAUUUUAUAC